rnacentral:lncRNA from 13 species
CAAUAAACAGGCAGACAUAUACCUUUCUUAUUUAAAUAACAAUAUGUGCAAGAUGUAGAUUCCACCAAGUUCACUGAAGAGAUGGAAUACAAAUUGCUCACAAAGAUCCAUGAGCAGAAAAGGAAGGAAGCAUGAAGAAAUCAGGCACUAGGGACAAAAUGGUGAGCACCAGCAUAGUUCUUCUCAAGAGGCUGGCAAUAUUUAUGAAGAGUUUGGUUGGAUUGGGGCUGGAAAAAGACAUUAAUCAAGUACGUAAAGUAAAUGUCCAUUUAAACAUCUAUUUGACAUGACAUGCUAUGAGAAAAUAUUAUUUGAAAGUUUGAUUUAGUAGAAUUUGUAUAAGUGAAAGAUUUUAUCCAGUUAGGAAGAUAUGUCAGGGCUUUGCUAGAAAAGUGACAGUUACAUUUCAAUUUGAAGGAUAUUUAAGAGUUAACAAGUCAAAGGAACUGGGGAUGAAAGGAAACGGGGUGUGGGGGGAUGAUCACUCCAGACAGGAAGAAAACCCACAAAGGUCUUGUAGCAAGAGGUAACACGGAAGGGAUAAGGAACAGAAGGGAGGCCAAUGUGUCUGGAAAGUGAGUGCAGUGACAGACACACAGGGUGAGAUAAGGCUGCAAAGGAAGUUGAGGAGGAUGAGGGAAGGGUUUGUGAGCUAUGUUAAGAAUGUAAGCCUCUAUAAGAACAUAGGUACAGAUGUGCAUUUUGACAAGAUUACCCAGAGAGCUGUAUUGAGAAUGGAUUUGAUCCAGGUAAGAGCAAAUGUGGUAGUCUAGUAAAAAAUUUACUAAAAAGGUCCAGGCACAAAAUGAUAGACAGCUUGAACUAGAGUGAAGGUAGCAGAUCCAAAGAGAAAUGAAAAAAUUAGUGGGAAACUUGGAAGGUACUAUUGAGAGCACAUGGUAAAGGAUUCAAUUAAAU